rnacentral:rRNA from 1 species
GACGAACGCUGGCGGCGUGCUUAACACAUGCAAGUCGAACGGUAAGGCCCCUUCGGGGGUACACGAGUGGCGAACGGGUGAGUAACACGUGAGCAACCUACCCUUGACUUUGGGAUAACAGCUGGAAACAGCUGCUAAUACCGGAUAUGACCCCUGCAGGCCUCUGCGGGGGUGGAAAGCUCCGGCGGUCAAGGAUGGGCUCGCGGCCUAUCAGCUUGUUGGUGAGGUAGUGGCUUACCAAGGCUUUGACGGGUAGCCGGCCUGAGAGGGCGACCGGCCACACUGGGACUGAGAUACGGCCCAGACUCCUACGGGAGGCAGCAGUGGGGAAUAUUGCACAAUGGGGGAAAACCCUGAUGCAGCGACGCCGCGUGGAGGAUGACGGCC